GGGAUCGAUCAGGAGCAGGAGACCAAGAACAAACCCUAUAGUUUUCAGAAAAUCACAAGAUUGAGAAGGAAUUUAGUGCCUAAACUGAUGCAUGAACUCCAAUCUUUAACCAUCUAAGCUUGUUCAACACAAGGUAUAAAGGAAGAAAGUUCGAGUCAAGCAAAGCAACAAGGGAAUCAAGAUCGAGGUAAAUCUCAAGUUUAGCUAUCAAGCUUCGCCGGUUCGAACACACUUCAAGCUCGUCAUGCGUUCCGCAGCUUUUGUAAAGAAGACAAUGUUAAUAUGUUUUGUCUCUUUAGUUAUGUCUAGUAGUUAAAAACUUAAGUUUUAUCUUGUUUGCCUUUUUAAAACUUAGUCGGUUGUAAGUGUCUUAGCAUGAUGGGUUCGUAUGUGAAACCAAGGUCCGUUUUGAUGUAGUACAUUAAGUCUUUUGAAA